rnacentral:rRNA from 1 species
AACCCUACGGGACGCAGCAGUGGGGAAUAUUGCACAAUGGGGGAAACCCUGAUGCAGCGACGCCGCGUGAGUGAAGAAGUAUUUCGGUACGUAAAGCUCUAUCAGCAGGGAAGAAAAUGACGGUACCUGACUAAGAAGCCACGGCUAACUACGUGCCAGCAGCCGCGGUAAUACGUAGGUGACAAGCGUUGUCCGGAUUUACUGGGUGUAAAGGGCGCGUAGGCGGGAUAGCAAGUCAGUCGUGAAAUGCCGAGGCUUAACCUCGGAGCUGCGAUUGAAACUGUUAUUCUUGAGUAUCGGAGAGG